rnacentral:sRNA from 1 species
AAGAAGUUGGACAUCAGAAACUUCCUGUAGGCCAUAAAUCUCUCAAGGCAUUUUGAAAUGCUCGGACACUCCAUAAUGGUUUUCUUUUCCAGUGACAGCCGGCGCUGUAAGCAUACCAAUGAAUGUUAUUCUUGCUUUUUGUAAUAAAAACUGCACCGAAGUACAAAGACAAGUCAACGGUUGAGUUGGAUUGCUUGUUACCUUCCUGCGUGGAGAAUUUUGUUUUUUGUAUUGGCAAUGUGAACGCCAAGCAGCUUACUGUCUCCCUGAUGAUGCACCUGUGUUGGUUUCUCUGAUGAUAUGGACACACCAGGUUGAGGCUUAGGCAAUGGUUUACUGUUUUCGAUUACAUUUUGAUUAGAAUACUUUGUUUCCUCUAAAAUCAUUAUCCUAAUUAACCG